rnacentral:rRNA from 1 species
GACGAACGCUGGCGGCGUGCUUAACACAUGCAAGUCGAACGGAAAGGCCCUGCUUUUGUGGGGUGCUCGAGUGGCGAACGGGUGAGUAACACGUGAGUAACCUGCCCUUGACUUUGGGGUAACUUCAGGAAACUGGGGCUAAUACCGGAUAGGAGCUCCUGCUGCAUGGUGGGGGUUGGAAAGUUUCGGCGGUUGGGGAUGGACUCGCGGCUUAUCAGCUUGUUGGUGGGGUAGUGGCUUACCAAGGCUUUGACGGGUAGCCGGCCUGAGAGGGUGACCGGCCACAUUGGGACUGAGGUACGGCCCAGACUCCUACGGGAGGCAGCAGUGGGGAAUAUUGAACAAUGGGCGGAAGCCUGAUGCAGCAACGCCGCGUGCGGGAUGACGGCCUUCGGGUUGUAAACCGCUUUCGCCUGUGACGAAGCGUGAGUGACGGUAAUGGGUAAAGAAGCACCGGCUAACUACGUG